UUUUCUUUUUUUUUUUCUUUUUCUUUUUUUUUUUUUUGAGAUGGGGUCUUGCUCUAUUGCCCAGUAGUGAAUGCAGUGGCACAAUCACUGCUCGUUGCAGCCUCAGCUGCCCAGGCUCAAGCGAUCCUCCCACCUCAGCAACUGUAGCUGGGACCACAGUUGCGCAUCACCAUGCCUGGCUAAUGUUUUAAUUAUUUGUGAAGAUGAGGUCUUGCUAUGUUGCCCAGGCUGGUCUCAAAUUUCUGAGCUCAAGAAAUCCUCCCGCCACAGCCUCCCAAAGUGCUGAGGUUAUAGGCACGAGUUGCUGUACCUGGCCCUGCCUUGUCUCUCUCAGAUUUAUUAUCAUCAGACGUAGUAUAGAUGUACUCAUUUCAUUGUUUCCUUUCUGUUUCAAUCUCACGUGUUAGAACUUCAUUUUGUUCACUGCUGCAUCGCCAAUAUCUAAAAUAAUCCCCGGCACACGAUAGGUGCUCAAUAAAUAUUUGUUAAAUAGAUACAUCAAUGAAUCACAAUUAAUUAAAAAAUGCUGACAGAUAGGUUCUCCUCCUACUGUAGAAGUCCCCUCUUCUGCUGGGAUUCAAGUCCAUUAUAUAAGAUGGAUAAACAAAGACAGCAUGUUCAUAAGGUAGGUAUUUCCUAUGCCCUUUAAAUAGUAACGAGAAGUAACUCAGAAUGGCCUAAAAUGUCAUUUCAUUAAGUGGCAAAAUAACCUAGCUACCCAUAAGCAAGGGAUAUAUUAUAUAAUAGAAAGAAACACCAUAACAAGAUUAUCAUGACCCUAAAUAUAAUGAUUAUGUCUCUUUUAGACACACAUUUUUCAUUGUCAAGGUUUUUUUUACAGUAAUGUUAUUAUGACACUUAUGAUAUUCAAAACACUCAUAUAAUAAAAUUUUCUAAGACUUUCUAUUAAACAUUUCAAAGACUGUACCAUUGGAAAGAUCCUUCAGUUUUUUUCAAAAUUAUAUAUUCUAGAAAACCUAGUGCAUGCCCCUUACAGACUACUAAUAUUUUACAACCUCCUUGAUCCCAAAUGUUGUCAUAUUAAUAUGAAAAGCCACAAUGAAAACUUAAUAGUAAGAAAGGUCUGACUUACCAACAAUGCAAGAAUAUCUAAUAUGCUUUUGACAACAAAAACCUCACUUAGGUCUCUUAAUUAGAGGAAAUUUAUUAAAGAGCACAUAUUUGUCUCCAAAAACCCAAGGGAAAAGCAGACUUGGGAGGGACUGGAAAAUCUAAAACAGGAAAAUCUACAACAAGGUCAUUCUUUUGAUAUCUUCUUUUUUCUUGUCUCUCAGUAGAUUGAUGUCCUGUAUUUCUUUUCAGAUGUUUAGCCAGAUAUGACACCACUUUCUGGUUAUGUUCCUAACAAAGAGACUAUAUUGUAUCUGGUUUCUAAAGCCAUUUUUUUUUUAAAUAGAGAGAAUCAGAUUAGGCCAGCUAAGAUCAUCUUAUUUUUGUGUUUGAAAUCACAGAGGGAGUUGGGUCAUAUAAAAUAAAUGUGGCUGCAACAUUACACUUCUGCUAAAGACAGGGAGAAGUUUCCAGAAAAAGAUCAGGUGGGCUAGAUAGACACUACAAAAGGGAGCUAUGAUUUUUUAACUCUUGAGAUAAUCUAAUAAUCAUUAAAUAAUGCUCAUAUGGCGGGGCGAGGUGGCUCAUGCCUGUAAUCCCACACUUUGGGAGGCAGAGACGAGUGUAUCACUUGAGGUCAGGAGUUUGAGACCAGCCAAACUCCAGGAGCCACUUUGAGUUUGGCCAACAUGGAGAAACCCCAUCUCUACUAAAACAAGGGGCUUGUAAUCCCAGCUACUUGGGAGGCUGAGGCAGGAGAAUCACUUGAACCGGGGAAGCGAGGUUGCAGUGAGCGAGAUUGCGCCAUUGCACUCCAGCCUGGGCGACAAGAGUGAAACUCUGUCUCAAUAAUAAUAAUACU
rnacentral:lncRNA from 1 species